rnacentral:rRNA from 1 species
UGAUCCUGGCUCAGAUUGAACGCUGGCGGCAGGCCUAACACAUGCAAGUCGAACGGUAACAGAACUAGCUUGCUAGUUGCUGACGAGUGGCGGACGGGUGAGUAAUACUUAGGGAUCUGCCUCUGUGUGGGGGAUAACUAUUGGAAACGAUAGCUAAUACCGCAUAAUGUCUACGGACCAAAGAGGGCUUCGGCUCUCGCGCAGAGAGGAACCUAGGCGAGAUUAGCUAGUUGGUGAGGUAAAGGCUCACCAAGGCGACGAUCUCUAGCUGUUCUGAGAGGAAGAUCAGCCACACUGGAACUGAGACACGGUCCAGACUCCUACGGGAGGCAGCAGUGGGGAAUAUUGCACAAUGGGGGAAACCCUGAUGCAGCCAUGCCGCGUGUGUGAAGAAGGCCUUCGGGUUGUAAAGCACUUUCAGUUGUGAGGAAAGGUUAGUAGUUAAUACCUGCUAGCUGUGACGUUAACAACAGAAGAAGCACCGGCUAACUCCGUGCCAGCAGCCGCGGUAAUACGGAGGGUGCGAGCGUUAAUCGGAAUUACUGGGCGUAAAGCGCACGCAGGCGGUCUGUUAAGCUAGAUGUGAAAGCCCCGCGCUCAACGUGGGAGGGUCAUUUAGAACUGGCAGACUAGAGUCUUGGAGAGGGGAGUGGAAUUCCAGGUGUAGCGGUGAAAUGCGUAGAGAUCUGGAGGAACAUCAAUGGCGAAGGCAACUCCCUGGCCAAAGACUGACGCUCAUGUGCGAAAGUGUGGGUAGCGAACAGGAUUAGAUACCCUGGUAGU